rnacentral:rRNA from 1 species
GCAGUAGGGAAUCUUCCGCAAUGGGCGAAAGCCUGACGGAGCAAUGCCGCGUGAGUGAUGAAGGUUUUCGGAUCGUAAAGCUCUGUUGCCAGGGAAGAACGCUUGGGAGAGUAACUGCUCUCAAGGUGACGGUACCUGAGAAGAAAGCCCCGGCUAACUACGUGCCAGCAGCCGCGGUAAUACGUAGGGGGCAAGCGUUGUCCGGAAUUAUUGGGCGUAAAGCGCGCGCAGGCGGUCAUUUAAGUCUGGUGUUUAAUCCCGGGGCUCAACCCCGGAUCGCACUGGAAACUGGGUGACUUGAGUGCAGAAGAGGAGAGUGGAAUUCCACGUGUAGCGGUGAAAUGCGUAGAUAUGUGGAGGAACACCAGUGGCGAAGGCGACUCUCUGGGCUGUAACUGACGCUGAGGCGCGAAAGCGUGGGGAGCAAACAGGAUUAGAUACCCCKGGUAGUCAG